rnacentral:rRNA from 1 species
GACGAACGCUGGCGGCGUGCUUAACACAUGCAAGUCGAACGGAAAGGCCCUGCUUUUGUGGGGUGCUCGAGUGGCGAACGGGUGAGUAACACGUGAGUAACCUGCCCUUGACUUUGGGAUAACUUCAGGAAACUGGGGCCAAUACCGGAUAGGAGCUCCUGCUGCAUGGUGGGGGUUGGAAAGUUUCGGCGGUUGGGGAUGGACUCGCGGCUUAUCAGCUUGUUGGUGGGGUAGUGGCUUACCAAGGCUUUGACGGGUAGCCGGCCUGAGAGGGUGACCGGCCACAUUGGGACUGAGAUACGGCCCAGACUCCUACGGGAGGCAGCAGUGGGGAAUAUUGCACAAUGGGCGGAAGCCUGAUGCAGCAACGCCGCGUGCGGGAUGACGGCCUUCGGGUUGUAAACCGCUUUCGCCUGGGACGAAGCGUGAGUGACGGUAAUGGGUAAAGAAGCACCGGCUAACUACGUG